rnacentral:rRNA from 1 species
AAUUCGCGGCCCGCGUCGACCUGGGCUGUAACUGACGCUGAGGAGCGAAAGCAUGGGGAGCGAACAGGAUUAGAUACCCUGGUAGUCCAUGCCGUAAACGUUGGGCACUAGGUGUGGGGACCAUUCCACGGUUUCCGCGCCGCAGCUAACGCAUUAAGUGCCCCGCCUGGGGAGUACGGCCGCAAGGCUAAAACUCAAAGGAAUUGACGGGGGCCCGCACAAGCGGCGGAGCAUGCGGAUUAAUUCGAUGCAACGCGAAGAACCUUACCAAGGCUUGACAUGUUCUCGAUCGCCGUAGAGAUACGGUUUCCCCUUUGGGGCGGGUUCACAGGUGGUGCAUGGUUGUCGUCAGCUCGUGUCGUGAGAUGUUGGGUUAAGUCCCGCAACGAGCGCAACCCUCGUGUUUAGUUGCCAUCAUUAAGUUGGGCACUCUAAACAGACUGCCGGUGACAAACCGGAGGAAGGUGGGGAUGACGUCAAGUCAGCAUGCCCCUUAGUCCUGGGCUACACACGGUCGACGCGGCCG